GAUGAACGCUGGCGGCGUGCCUAAUACAUGCAAGUCGAGCGAACAGAUGAGGAGCUUGCUCCUCUGACGUUAGCGGCGGACGGGUGAGUAACACGUGGAUAACCUACCUAUAAGACUGGGAUAACUUCGGGAAACCGGAGCUAAUACCGGAUAAUAUAUUGAACCGCAUGGUUCAAUAGUGAAAGACGGUUUUGCUGUCACUUAUAGAUGGAUCCGCGCCGCAUUAGCUAGUUGGUAAGGUAACGGCUUACCAAGGCGACGAUGCGUAGCCGACCUGAGAGGGUGAUCGGCCACGCUGGAACUGAGACACGGUCCAGACUCCUACGGGAGGCAGCAGUAGGGAAUCUUCCGCAAUGGGCGAAAGCCUGACGGAGCAACGCCGCGUGAGUGAUGAAGGUCUUCGGAUCGUAAAACUCUGUUAUUAGGGAAGAACAAAUGUGUAAGUAACUAUGCACGUCUUGACGGUACCUAAUCAGAAAGCCACGGCUAACUACGUG
rnacentral:rRNA from 1 species